GCGGAGCAUUGGAGUACGGUCAGAAAACUGGAACUCGACAGGGGUAUCUCCUGGGAGAAAAGGUGGAAAGGGAAAAACGACAGAGCCAUGGAUUCCGGGAAUAAUGAGCUAGAGGACCUGCCAGCUGAGCCCAACACGCUCAGCCUGGCUUACGGCGGACAUAACGAAGAUAUUCUGAAACGAGCCAAGGCCCUGCUUAGUUCUGCUACUGCCCAUGCCAUCGAUGUGGAGCCACCCAACUGCCCGAAUCUGAACUAUGGACCCCAGCUGGGCAGUGACCGCUUCCGCACAACGCUCGCGGAAUUUCUCUCAAAGCGCUACAACCAAACAGUCAGCAGCGCCAGUCUGGUGCUGACGUGCGGCGCCACGCACGCACUCCACCU